rnacentral:misc_RNA from 1 species
GAGCUGCACUAACUGAAGCAGGAAGACAACAAUUAGAAGUUGCAAGACAGCAUGCAGCUGCUGUAACUGCCACUCUAAAUGCUGUUAAUGCAUAUGCUGAAUGGGCUCCCUUGCCAGAUCUUGCAAAAUAUGGAAUAAUACAUGGUUGUGGAAUCUUGCUCUCCUCUCCGGAUUUUCGUCUUCAUGCAUGUGAAUUCUUCAAGCUUGUCUCCCUG